rnacentral:rRNA from 1 species
GUCCACGCAGUAAACGAUGAUAGCUCGUUAUCGGCGAUACACAGUCGGUGACUUAGAGAAAUCGAUAAGCUAUCCACCUGGGGAGUACGUUCGCAAGAAUGAAACUCAAAGGAAUUGACGGGGGCCCGCACAAGCGGAGGAACAUGUGGUUUAAUUCGAUGAUACGCGAGGAACCUUACCCGGGCUUGAAAGUUAGUGACGGAUCUGGAAACAGGUCUUCCCUUCGGGGCACGAAACUAGGUGCUGCAUGGUUGUCGU